CACCGUCAUGGCUGCCGUCGUCGUACCGGAGAAGAUCAUGUCGCCGUCGCCUCCGCCGUCGCAGCAUAUGCAUCUCUCACCUCCGACUUCCCGGCGCAGCACGGACACAUCCUCUGGCACUAACGCCUCUCCCGAUCGCCGCUCUUCCCUUGAUCUUCCCUCAUCUUCCACCUCUAGCCCAUCACGGUUGUCUGAUGCUCAGAAUCAGCUAGCUUUGAAGAGUGAAGAGUAUCGACUACUUUUUCGUUUACCACCUGAUGAAGUCCUGGUUCAAGAUUUUAAUUGUGCGCUGCAAGAGAAUUUUCUACUUCAGGGUCAUAUGUAUCUCUUUGUCCAUAGUAUUUGCUUCUAUUCCAACCUCUUCGGCUUUGAGACAAAGAAAAUUAUUCCUUUUCAUGAGAUAACGGCAGUACGAAGAGCUAAAGCUGCGGCCAUAUUCCCGACCGCAAUAGAAAUAGUAGCUGGAGGAAAGAAGUACUUUUUUACAUCUUUCCUUUCCCGAGAUGAAGCUUUUAAGCUUAUCGAUGAUGGUUGGCUACAACACAAUGGUGCAGCUAAGGAGUCUGCGGAUCUGGAACCACAAUCUGAUCUAACUUUCCUAGAUAGUGGAAUAGUAGAAGGAGCAGAUAGUUUCAGGCAGGCUACGGAACGGGUGGAAUGCCUAGAAAGGAAUGAGGACAAUAUGGUACAGGAAGACUCAAAGCCAUUAGUCAAUGGUCAGUUUGAAAUUGUAUCAAACCCUUCACGAGUGCAGGACAACGUGGAGGAAGAAGUGGUUAUUGUUCAAAAUACUGAUUGUUCACCAUCUGAAAAGUCCUAUGGUUUGAAGCAGGAGGAUUCAGAUGCACCUAGGGUCCCUGAAGGGUUUACACUUGUUGCAGAGGCAAAAUUUCCGGUUACGGUUGAGAAGUUCUUUGAACUCUUCAUUUCAGAUGCCGGUGUUGCUUUUCAGGAGUCAUUCCGUAGAAACUGUGGUGAUAAAGAUUUUAAGUGUACACAGUGGCGUCCUCAUGAAGAAUUUGGGCACACUCGAAAUUUGUCGUUUCAGCAUCCUAUUAAAAUCUAUUUAGGUCCAAAAUUUGGUGGCUGCCACGAGUUUCAGAAGUGUCGUCGUUACAGAAACAGUCACCUGGUGAUUGAGUCAUCACAAGAAAUCAGUGGUGUUCCUUUUGCAGACUAUUUUCGAGUGGAGGCCUUUUGGGAUGUAGAAAGGGAUGGGGAUGG
rnacentral:misc_RNA from 1 species